rnacentral:rRNA from 1 species
AUUGAACGCUAGCGGGAUGCCUUACACAUGCAAGUCGAACGGAGUGUCGAACGGGUGAGUAAUGUAUCGGAACGUGCCCAGUAGCGGGGGAUAACUACGCGAAAGCGUAGCUAAUACCGCAUACUAUUGGAGCGGCCGAUAUCGGAUUAGCUAGUUGGUGUGGUAACGGCUCACCAAGGCGACGAUCCGUAGCUGGUUUGAGAGGACGACCAGCCCAACGGGAACUGAGACACGGCCCAGACUCCGACGGGAGGCAGCAGUGGGGAAUGUGGGGCAAUGGGGGAAACCCUGAUCCAGCCAGCCCGCGUGUGCGAUGAGGGCCUUCGGGUUGUAAAGCAAUUUUGGCAGGAAAGCGGUACCUGCAGAAUAAGCACCGGCUAACUACGUGCCAGCAGCCGCGGUAAUUC